UCAGACAUUUAAGACACAAUGCUCUCGUUCCCAUGCAAGUGUCCCUGAUCAUGAAAAGUUGGAGAAGGGAAAUGCACAGUGGUUUGAUCAGAAUACAUAGUAUCUUGUAUUUCUAGAGUAGCUUGGAUCUCAAAACACUUUACCCAUUACACCUUCUAAAGUAUAUACAUGGAAAUCACUUCAUCCACUGCUGAAAUGCACCCAUCACUGGGGUGGAACAUGGAUGUGGUUUAACAGCUCACGGUAAAACUAUGCCAACAAGUUUGGACAGCAAGUGAAAUAGAAUUAUGCAUCUCAUUGAAACUGCAGAGGAAAUUAGAGAAGCAGAAUGGCAAAACCCAGGCAGGACUAACACCCCUCCCUGCUACCAAAAUUACCAUUGGAUUUGUUAUGUCAAGGAUUGGUUUUGUGUGUCUGCGAAAGGACAGCACCUCCGGCAGCAGGGCAUCUCUAAGACAAUACUGGGGCAUUGGUUCAUCACUAAUUCAGAGGAAAGAGUGCCAUCGGCUGAUUCACCGACAUUGUACCCCAUUGCUCUUCUUGGAUUACUGAGUCAGCCACUUUACUUAGCUUGCAAGAGCUGACAAGAACACAGCCCGAGGUGGGCACAAGAAUCAGCAGGGCUGCCAAGCCACUCACAAUUUCCAUUGAUUCAGACUGGGAACAUCAGCAAAUUUCUGGGGAUGCACCUGGGAAGCGAAGGUCCUGACUCUGAUCUUCCGCUCUCACUCCAUGGGCUCAUUUCCAGCUGACCCCAGUGGAGAGUUCGGCACAUAGAGGAAGAGCAGAACAGCCGAGACAAGAUCCAUUGUGAUGAUCCAAGCAGAGAACGUUCCCCAGGAUUUGGGACCAGUUCCAUACCUGAGUCUGGGAUGCUGCUUUGAUGAGGCAGGACACAACGUGUCGGAGCAAGGGGAGUGCCGGGGUCUUCCCCACAAUCUGACAGAGACCGUGGGGCAAAGAGAUCUUUAUUUGUAACAAAACAGCAAGUCCUUAUAAAUCACUCCUAGCCCUUUUUAAAAUAUUGCCAAGACAUUCCACUUUAAAACAUGCCCAUUCACCCUCAUGACAUGGUUAGGAUCCCACAAGUACAUGAGACCAGCUUGCACUGGUGGCAUAGACUGGGGCAGAUGGCCCCCACCCCUAGAGGCAGCAGACUCUGCCCUUUGGUGAAUUCAGUUCCUUUGUCAGGACGGGGAGUUCUCGGGUUGUUCUCCCCGCUGUAGCUCACAGCAACUCUGCCACGGUAUCUCACAGUUAUGUGCGUCUGCUCCCCUCCCCACACUGCACGCCCACGUGCUGGCAAGGAAAGGGUGAAGGACACGCAGGUGUCAUGAGCGCUCAAGCCAACCGCGAAGGGAUGCCCAGCUGCACCACGGCUCUCCAUGCCUCGCUCACUCUUCUGGGAGAGGAGGGAUUCCAUGCCCCCACCCCUCAGAUAUCCUCGCUCAGGCUGGCCUG